UGCGUAGGGUGCAAGCGUUGUCCGGAAUUAUUGGGCGUAAAGAGCUCGUAGGCGGUCUGUUGCGUCGGCUGUGAAAACUCGGGGCUCAACCCCGGGCCUGCAGCCGAUACGGGCAGACUAGAGUUCGGCAGGGGAGACUGGAAUUCCUGGUGUAGCGGUGAAAUGCGCAGAUAUCAGGAGGAACACCGGUGGCGAAGGCGGGUCUCUGGGCCGAUACUGACGCUGAGGAGCGAAAGCGUGGGGAGCGAACAGG
rnacentral:rRNA from 1 species